AGCGUUGCUCGGAAUUACUGGGCGUAAAGGGAGCGUAGGCGGACAUUUAAGUCAGGGGUGAAAUCCCAGAGCUCAACUCUGGAACUGCCUUUGAUACUGGGUGUCUUGAGUGUGAGAGAGGUAUGUGGAACUCCGAGUGUAG
rnacentral:rRNA from 1 species